GUCUUCCCAAUCUAAUCAAUUUCUUUGGAGGAAAUCAUUUGAUGCUCCAACAAGUAUGUUCUCUACGUCUCUUACGUGCCAAAUCUACAACAUGUGGCAAAAUAAAUUGUCUGUUAUAGGACAGUAAGGUUCUCACAAAAACUUCUGAAACAUGCUAAUCUCUGUUUUAGGACAGUUACCUUCCAGGAGACCAUCUUCGUCAAUGGGGUUUGGUGGUUCUUACCGCUUGUCUCCUUUGUGACAUUGAUUUAGAAUGCCGAACACACCCAUUUUUAAGCUAUAAGAGAAAAGUCAAAAUAUUAAAUCUCUACAGACGAAGAUACGAUACCUGUAUAGAUUCUUUGAAUUAUCUUUUCCAGAAAUCGGUUUCUUACUCUGGUUCUUGCAUUCUUUCU